rnacentral:lncRNA from 1 species
AGUGCGGACCCCUCCAGGCUAGCUGGAGGGUUCCUGGUAUGGUCUAGGCCAGGCUAGAAUGGUUAGUGCAGGGUCGCACAAAUAGUGGAUUCGCGUCUAGAAAAAGCUCUGGCUUCGGUGUUUCUAGGUUCAGAUUUUGUCUUUAAAAAAAGGGAAAGAAAAAAAUGACUGACAGGAUGAUGAGCAAACAAGAUACAGGCCCACAGCCCUUGGGCAAGCAGCCAUAUCCUCAAAAUAUUUGUUCUAAGCACCCAGGCCUUCCAUGAAGGUCACACAGUCAGGACCAAUGGUUUUACCAUCAGCACAUUCCCUAGCCCCAGUAUCCGAGUUGAGAUGCGAUUUAUUUGUGGAUUUGUAGACUGCCUGUUGCGCAUUUACCUGAGAGCCUAAAAGAAUGUCUAGUGUCUUGUGAGCUGUCGUCAUGGAAAUCAAAAAAAACAAUUAAAAAGAAUGUCCAGUGUCCUGAGGCCUUAGCGAAUCAAUCUCAAUACCGGUUGACUGGAUUCCACCCUGUAGGACAAUGUUUGUUAGAGUAGCAGUUUGAACCUGAAAAAUCAUAGUCUACCUUUUCAACCUCCUUCCAGAGAACCAGGCAAAACAAGUUUCAUUUGCUUUCGGCAAAUCUCACUUUUUUUUCGUUACUUCUUCCUACUUUAACGUGGAAACAACUCUAAGAAGACCAUAGGAAAAAAA